rnacentral:ncRNA from 4 species
ACCGAUUUCUCCUGGUGUUCAGA